CUGCUUGAUUGAAGCUUUAGAAGUCUCAAAUUAGAAGAUGAUACUGAGCAUUGACUUGAGCUCAAACUAGCAAGCUUCGGUUGACAAGCUCGAGACAUAUGAACUAAAGCGCUUGGAUAUAGUGCCUCACUGAAUAAUUGACAGUAGAGAGCAAGUGAAUUUGACGAUGAAGCAUGCGCCACCUUUACACCGGCGUAACAAUAAAAACGCUUGACGAGAUUUGGCAGAAUGG
rnacentral:lncRNA from 1 species